GGGUGGUAAAUGAAAAUAGAGAACGUGGAUGUGUUUUUUUCUCUAACCCUUUUUGUUCCUGAAUAUUUCCUCUAACCAUUUUGCAUGGACAUAACAAAGUUCUCUGGGCGUGGAGUGGCCCAUCUACUUAACUUCCUCACCAGCUACCAAACAAAAAAAACUGUCAUUUUACGUCUGAAUAAUCUCAUAUGAAUACAUGUUGUGUUUAUAGAGUAAACCAUAUAAAUAAACAUUUUUUAAAAAAAAUAUUGAAUUACAUUAUUACUUUUGAAAAUAAUUGAUGAUCAAUAUUGAUAUAGAAAAUGCAAUAUUUUGAUAAUUGCAGAAUAAACAUCGUUUUCUAUAAAAUAGAGAAAAAUCUAUAUAUAUUUGAAUAUCACAUGCAGUCUUUGGGCUUCAGAACGUUACAUGUCAACAUAAUAAUAAAUUAAAACAUUAUAUAUAUCACAAAUUUCUCCAUCUAUCUAUAACUCAAUGAUUCGAAUGCAUGUGAGUUUUUUUUUUUUGUGCUAAAGGGUUUGAAUGCAUGUGAGUUUUACUAGAUUGAAGUUGCUGUAAUAUUUAAAAUCUUUCAUUCAAUUCAUACGUCUUUUUCGAUUUGUAUAUAUAUAAUAGAUAUUGAUCUUAACAAUGUAAGAGUAUAGUUGAAUAGUAAAGUGGCCUAUUGUUUUAGCUGAACAGAAAGUUUCGACUUUUGUAUUCGUAGUUGCAGCUAC
rnacentral:lncRNA from 1 species